UUAUGCAGAAGUAAAAUUUACAAUUAAUUUCGAUUUAACAUUUAAGAUCAAAAAUCUUCGCAUAAU
rnacentral:tRNA from 1 species